AUCACUUCUCGGCCUUUUGGCUAAGAUCAAGUGUAGUAUCUGUUCUUAUCAGUUUAAUAUCUGAUACGUCCUCUAUCCGAGGACAAUAUAUUAAAUGGAUUUUUGGAGCUGGGAGUCGGAAUAGGAGCUUGCUCUGUCCGCUCCACGCAUCGACCUGGUAUUGCAGUAUCUCCAGGAACGGUGCACUUCCC
rnacentral:snRNA from 1 species